CGUGUUUCUAACAUAUUGAUUUGUUGAAAUCAAGAAACAGUGUAUAAAACUUUUGCAGUAACCUAUUUCGGAGACAUAAAUCAUUCAGAUUGCUCUAGGGUGAAACAUUGUGUUAUUUAAAAAAGCAUACAGGCGUCUUCCGUAUGAAAACCACUUUUAAAUUUUCGAAAUGUUGUCGUAGUGGCUUGAUAUAAAAUGGACUUAUAUGUGCAUUGCUGUCUCCCAGUGAGAGGUUAAAACAGUUAGUGCAAGGUAACCCACUCAACUGAAAUCUGGAAUUCUCUCUAUAUCUUCAAAUCCGAGUGUUACCAUAGCUCUCCAAAUGGUUGAUGAGAUGGAACGGAACUUAUAGACCAUGGCAGACAUCACAAAUAACUAAUUCUUUUCUUGACAUAAUGCUCUUUUCUGCUGACUUGAAUCCUGUGGAUAAAAUAAAUAUAAUAAACCUUAAAUUACUACUAUA